CCGAAGCAUCCCUCCUUUUCCUUUUCCUCCCAUAGGGGCCAUAGGGGUUACCGCCGCCGCCGCCGCCGCCCUCGUUCCCUCUCCAUCUCCUGCCCCGAGCCCAACCUCCCUCCAGCCUCUGCUUGCGACCUUCCCGGAACGACGAAUCUCGUCGCCAUGAUCUCCCCGCGCGGAUACGGCGCGCCGUUGUCGAGCUUGGCCACGGCGGAGAUCCGGCUCCACAACCACACGCCGGCGGUGGAAGACUGCGGGGGCUUUCUCCGUGGGAUGCCGCCAUGGACCUCCUUCUCCUCAACCAUGGAGCGGCAGCAGGGGAGCCCCGGUCCCCGUCUACUUCUUCUCCAUCAAGCUCUGACGUCCGACUCCAGCGACUCUCCCUUCUUCCUUUUGCAGUACGCUGGGAACACUCGACAUGACAUCCACCUACUGAUUCGUGCUCUACAUCUGGAAACUUACGGAAAUAAGGUGCAUGACAUUAUUAAUUCUUUUGGAGCUGCAGAUUAUUCCACCCUGUUUUGACAUCUCCCCCAAUUGAUUUGAUAUCGUCCAUGGAUAAGCAUCAUUUAGGUGCCAAGCUGUUGUGGGUGGUUUAUUGAUUUAUGUAAUACAACCUUCAGACACCAACCCAUGUCUGUAGAACCAGCAGUCAAAGCGAUUCGCCACUAUCAAACCAUGGAUAUGGUAUUCUACUAUUCUGAAAGAGAAUCAACUUCAUCUAUAAAACGAUCAGCAGAAGGAACAAGCCUUUGGAAUGCCACGGAUAUCCAUGUAGGCAUCAACAUUAGUGGAACCACUUCUAAUUUCAAAAGGCGGGGGCGGGCGACCGCUCAAAGGUUGGUAGCUUUGGUUUAUCUGGCAGAUAUGCGCCAUUUGGAGGGUCGUUCUUUUCGCCUGGCCUGGGCAGGAGGCAACCCCUCGGCGACGGAUUAGAGAGCUGGUGUGGGUUUUGCCAGAGCAUUCGACCUACUCAGAUGGGCUUGUCACUCAAUAUUGAUAUGUCAGCAACGGCUUUCAUUGAGCCAUUGCCCGUAAUAGAUUAUGACGCGCGGCUGCUGCGUUCUGACAUCCAUUUGAGGCCACUCUCAGACGUUGAACAUGUUAAGAUCAAGAAGGCACUGAGAGGAGUAAAGGUGGAAGUACUCAUCGUGGCAACAUGCGAAGGAGGUGCCGAAUAUCUCGUCUGACAACCCAGGCAACUCGAGAGCUAAUGUAAAACAUGUGCUAUUGCUCUAACAAAGGAAAUACUUACUGAUACGAGACGUGGAAGAUUGGUUCUAGAAUAGGUAUGGUUCUGGAAUGAAUGCAAUUGACAUGAGACGUGGUAUCCCAAUGGUUGUUGAUUCUGUGCCGACGAACGAAAAGGGCAUGGUCAGAAUGAUCAACACGUCUUAGCCUCUUCUAAUUAUGGCAGAAGAUGUAGAAAAUGAAGCAUUGGGCACACAGAUUAUUAACAAGCUUCAUGGAGGCAUCAAGGUCGGUAUUAAUACACAUGAUGACUAAUGUUUCCCCAUUGUAAUUUCUAAUCUGUUAUGAAAGUUCUAUGCUAACACAUCAAAGUUUUCAAGAACUUUUCCCUGCUGAUAGGGUUACUAAGAAUCGUAAAAAAUAUUAGGUUAGCAGUUCAUUCUGUAUCAAACUUGAGCAAACCAAAAUUGAGUUAGGUGGCUGUUUUCUGUAGGAAUGCAUCCUCCUCUUGAUACACAAACUGAAGAAAUCAAUUCGAUGACAAAGCAUAGUACUGCAGGUGUUAACUUCAUGAUCUCAUGGGCGUAUUAUAAUUACCUUAUUUUGUUCUCUUCAAUUAUAUGUUCCAAAUGAUAGAAUAGUUGAUCUAAUCAUCUUGGUGCUAAUAUUAUUUAGUGUAGUAUAUUUUGGCAUGCAUCCAGUGUACAUUCCAUCCAUUCUAACUGAUAUGUUGAUGUUGGAUGGUUCACCCACACUUCCUGUUCUCAGUGUUGAUCCAUCAGUAGCACCUAGCCCAUGAGCUUAAUGGGAAUCCAGGUAAAUGUUCUACUUUUAUUCUUACACUGGAAUACUUAAUUGUGUAACUGCUAGCUUCACCUCGGCAAUAGCGAGUAAUUGAUCAGUAUUUUCUGUUAUUCUACAAGGAGUUUCUGAAGCUUGGUGUUGCCGACGACUCCAAAGAUACACGUUAUAUUUGCCAAUAUUGUGAAAGCUAAAAAGAAGUGUUGUGAUGUAUUUUACAGAUUUAUUUUCUGAAGAACAACAUGGCUGACCCAUCACUGUUGACCUUAUCAUCUUCACCAAACAAGGAAAUAAAAGUAAUAACCUAUCAGCCAGUGAAGAUUACAUGGCUGAUCUGUGUUUUUUGCAUGCUAGGUGAGCAUUAUGAACUACUCCCUCUGUCCCAAAAUAUAAGAACGUUUUUAAUACUACACUAGUGUCAAAAACGUUCUUACAUUAUGGGACGGAGGGAAUACUAUACUUGCCUUAAGAGGGUGUAUUUCCCUUAUAAUCAGAUACUCACUUAUAUUUCAAAGAAUAAAGAAAUCUUUUGAAAUUUUUGUUGGUAAAAAAAGGAAUUUCCUGUAAUCCUUGCCGAGGCAAACUGUUAUGGGCUUGAUGCCUUAGCAUCUGCCUAACUUAGAGUUUUAGGGAAUCCACGAUUCCUUGGUUUGGCAAAUAUACAUUUUAGGGUGAAUGAGGACACUUGACUAUUUCACAUACGAAUGGCAUAAAAAUGAGAUUGAGCUUGCAGAGAUAUCUAGCGUACAUAGUGUCAUUGUCCUAACACUUUUGUAGUGGUUAAUGUUGAUUUUGCUUGUGUGUGACCUAUCAUGAAAAAUAGGGGUUAUUUUCUUUUUCAAACCAGGCGCCUGAUUGUUCGUGCUUUAGGCAGACAGGUUGCUGCCUAAACUGAAAGUAAUGCAGGGCACUUUGUAUAUGUUGUUUUUAGGCUUUGUAUCAUUAGAAUGUCUGGCGAUUCUCUUCCUAAGAGGUCUUUUAGUGGUUGUUAUUGUCGUCCAGGCGAUGAUCUUAAUUCUACUUAUUAGGAGGAAAAAUAUUUUAGAGGAUGCUUUAUUUGGGUUCCUCCACAAAUAGGUAUAUCUCAUCUUUUGAGUUUUCUUUAUCUCUUGCUCUAGCAUGUGUAUUGUAAUUUUACUUUUUCCACGCACCGAUGACUGUAGAGUGUUUGUAAUGAAGUCCAUGGAAAUUUGGCAGCCGGUUAUGCUGGCUACACAAGCACUUCUCUUCAGUUGACAUUGGCCACAUCAGGAUACAAUACAUGAACCAGUUCUACUUCACCUUGAAGAACUCAAGCAGAUAGGAGAUUAGUUAUUGAUUACUAUGGAGAGUUGGCAAGCGUCGAGCUGGGAGGCCAAUCAGUUUCCCCCUGCAUUCGUGAAGUGGCAGAAGAGGAGCAGUUGUGCUCCGAGCGCCGCCUCCAUCCUUGAACCAUCUUCGUCACAUGCAGCGACAGACUUAUCUCUGCAUGGUGGGAGUGGCUCUUCAAGGAGAUUGAGGUUCAGGAUGACGAGGCACAGAAGCACCACGAUGACGAUGCAAAGAAGUCACACGUUGGUGGCUCCCGCGGGUUGGCGUUGGCCGCAAACAACGACGAGGCCGACGGCUCCAGCAUGGCAAUUAGUAAACUUCUUUCUUUGGUUUUAGUUUUGUUGUGCUGGCUGUCCGCCUUUUUGCAUUGUAAAUAAUAAUUCAAGUCCACUUUGAUAAAUUGCGUUGAAUGACUGACGGUCGACGGAUGUCCACGAACUGUAUCCGUUUGGUGAUUCACAUUGAAGAUGCCCCAAUCUUGUAUUUAAGUAUCAUUUAUUUAGCUCCUUCUAAAAAAUUUAGUGCAAUUUCUUAA